AAAAUAGCGAUGAAAAGGAAGAGUAAAAUAGAAACAAUUAAUCAGAGAGGAUAAGUCAUAGGCUGGAAGCUUAUCUUAAUAUGACUAUUUGAAAACUAGCUUGGAGCUGAACUUAUUAACAUUUAUAAAAUGUGAAAGUGUUCGGAUGACAACCUUAUAGUCAUCAAGAGGAAGUAUUUAAAUACUUCAACUUGGGUGGAACCGCGAAUUAAUACUCGUCCCAAUA
rnacentral:ncRNA from 1 species